AUUAAUGCCCCCUAAUUCCUGCGAUAAGUCCUCUCUCUAUAUAUGAUCACCAUCAUGGCGAAUACUGGCAUCCAUCGACUAGACUAGAAAAACAACACUAGCUGCCCAGAAGAAGAGGAAUUGCAAGAACCCAUUCACCAUGGCACGUCCAAGGAACGACACACAUAUUUUGUUCUUGGUUGUAGCUCUUCUGGUCAUGUCUACCGCCUUCCUGCCCUGUAACGCAGAUAUCGACCCACCCAGCUGGUGCACGCCGGAGGCGGUUUGCCAGGACCCGGUUACGCCGGGAAACAGGGAAACGUGCAAAAGCAUCUGCAAAAGUUUUGGCUACAACCCGGAACAAGCCUACUGCAAUCCCGAUCCCACUCCGAGGUGCUGCUGCAUCUAUUAAGCGCAGGAAAUAACAAUGCCACUGGAGUGGCAGAUGAUGGAUGACAAAGCUAGCAAACUCACUUUUAUGUGUCCAUUUCGACUUAUGUAAAAAUCGGAACAGAUCAUGGUCCAGGCCUGUCCGUCAAUUAAUAAAGAUUAGAAAAAGUUUCUUUUA